AGUGUUUGAAAUAUAAUAUAUGUUCACGUAGUUUAAUCCAUCCCAUGUCUGUUCUCUACCGCUGAAGUUCACGGUUACGUCGAUGUACUCUACUACAGAGAUGAA